rnacentral:rRNA from 1 species
UGAGGGAUAUUGGUCAAUGGGCGCAAGCCUGAACCAGCGACGCCGCGUGGGUGAAGAAGGUCUUCGGAUCGUAAAGCCCUUUUCCCACUGAAGAGGAAGGACGGUAGGUGGGGAAGAAGUCUCGGCUAACUACGUGCCAGCAGCCGCGGUAAAACGUAGGAGACAAGCGUUAUCCGGAGUUACUGGGCGUAAAGGGCGUGCAGGUGGCGUCUUAAGUCUGUUGUGAAAGCGCCUGGCUUAACCGGGCGAGGCCAAUGGAGACUGAGAGGCUGGAGGACGGCGGAGGGGUGUGGAAUUCCGGGUGUAGUGGUGAAAUGCGUAGAGACCCGGAGGAACACCAGAGGCGAAGGCGGCACUCUAAGCCGUACCUGACACUGAGACGCGACAGCACGGGGAGCAAACG